rnacentral:rRNA from 1 species
GUCCACGCCGUAAACGAUGGACACUAGGCGUCGGGGGGGAGCGACCCCCCUCGGUGCAGUCGCUAACGCAGUAAGUGUCCCGCCUGGGGAGUACGGCCGCAAGGCUGAAACUCAAAGGAAUUGACGGGGGCCCGCACAAGCGGUGGAGCAUGUGGUUUAAUUCGAAGCAACGCGAAGAACCUUACCUGGGCUUGACAUGCUGGUGAAAGCCGGUGGAAACAUCGGCCCCUCUUCGGAGCGCCAGCACAGGUGCUGCAUGGCUGUCGU